rnacentral:rRNA from 1 species
AGAGUGAACGCUGGCGGUAGGCCUAACACAUGCAAGUCGAACGGCAGCACAGUGGUAGCAAUACCAUGGGUGGCGAGUGGCGGACGGGUGAGGAAUACAUCGGAAUCUACCUUUUCGUGGGGGAUAACGUAGGGAAACUUACGCUAAUACCGCAUAAGACCUUCGGGUGAAAGCCGGGGACCUUCGGGCCUGGCGCGGAUAGAUGAGCCGAUGUCGGAUUAGCUUGUUGGCGGGUAAAAGCCCACAAGGCGACGAUCCGUAGCU